UACGUAGGGUCCGAGCGUUGUCCGGAAUUACUGGGCGUAAAGAGCUCGUAGGUGGUUUGUCGCGUUGUUCGUGAAAACUCACAGCUUAACUGUGGGCGUGCGGGCGAUACGGGCAGACUGGAGUACUGCAGGGGAGACUGGAAUUCCUGGUGUAGCGGUGGAAUGCGCAGAUAUCAGGAGGAACACCGGUGGCGAAGGCGGGUCUCUGGGCAGUAACUGACGCUGAGGAGCGAAAGCGUGGGGAACGAACAGG
rnacentral:rRNA from 1 species